GUAGCUUGCUACUUUGCCGGCGAGCGGCGGACGGGUGAGUAAUGUCUGGGAAACUGCCUGAUGGAGGGGGAUAACUACUGGAAACGGUAGCUAAUACCGCAUGACCUCGCAAGAGCAAAGUGGGGGACCUUCGGGCCUCACGCCAUCGGAUGUGCCCAGAUGGGAUUAGCUAGUAGGUGAGGUAAUGGCUCACCUAGGCGACGAUCCCUAGCUGGUCUGAGAGGAUGACCAGCCACACUGGAACUGAGACACGGUCCAGACUCCUACGGGAGGCAGCAGUGGGGAAUAUUGCACAAUGGGCGCAAGCCUGAUGCAGCCAUGCCGCGUGUGUGAAGAAGGCCUUAGGGUUGUAAAGCACUUUCAGCGAGGAGGAAGGGUUCAGUGUUAAUAGCACUGUACAUUGACGUUACUCGCAGAAGAAGCACCGGCUAACUCCGUGCCAGCAGCCGCGGUAAUACGGAGGGUGCAAGCGUUAAUCGGAAUUACUGGGCGUAAAGCGCACGCAGGCGGUUUGUUAAGUCAGAUGUGAAAUCCCCGAGCUUAACUUGGGAACUGCAUUUGAAACUGGCAAGCUAGAGUCUUGUAGAGGGGGGUAGAAUUCCAGGUGUAGCGGUGAAAUGCGUAGAGAUCUGGAGGAAUACCGGUGGCGAAGGCGGCCCCCUGGACAAAGACUGACGCUCAGGUGCGAAAGCGUGGGAGCAAACAGGAUUAGAUACCCUGGUAGUCCACGCUGUAAACGAUGUCGACUUGGAGGUUGUGCCCUUGAGGCGUGGCUUCCGGAGCUAACGCGUUAAGUCGAAGUACGGCCGCAAGGUUAAACUCAAUGAAUUGACGGCGCAC
rnacentral:rRNA from 1 species